GCCCUGGUGGUCUAGUGGUAAAGAUUCAGUGCUCUCACUGCCUUGGCCCAGGUUCGUUUCCUAGUCAGGGCA
rnacentral:tRNA from 1 species